AUAUUUUUAAAUAGGUUUAGGUUUUGGUAUGUAUGCCUGCGAGGUUUACAGUUAACCACUAUGCAAAAAACCUGUUUGUUAGCGCAAUCUUUUGUUUUGACCAGCGGAUUUCUUUAAUAUGUUUCCAUUUCGAGAUGUAUUUAAUGAUUUUGUGGCAAGCUUGAAACUUGUGGUGGCGCUGUUGCCACUAUUGAGUUGACUGGCACUUGUACGAGGUAACCGCGGAUUUGUAUUCCCAUUUCCUGACAAGGGGCGCGCCGCACUACCAGCAUUAUUGCUCACGGCAAGUGCUCCCGGUAACAUAUCAUGGUGCAUGAUGAUUCCGAUGCACAGUAGCAUUAAUGUAAGCACCGCCCGGCUAAUGAAUUUCCCCCUCCUUGUAUAAUCCAGAAAGGCUACCAUGACUGCGAACCGUAUCAUCUCUACACUUUUAUAUAUAUUUGACACGACCGAGACGUUUUUACCUGAAAUUAUUUAUAAAUUUAAAAUGUUGCGACUGGUUCAGAUUACAAAAAU